rnacentral:rRNA from 1 species
ACGCUCGACACCUACGGGGGCAGCAGUAGGGAAUCUUCCACAAUGGACGCAAGUCUGAUGGAGCAACGCCGCGUGAGUGAAGAAGGUCUUCGGAUCGUAAAACUCUGUUGUUAGAGAAGAACACGAGUGAGAGUAACUGUUCAUUCGAUGACGGUAUCUAACCAGCAAGUCACGGCUAACUACGUGCCAGCAGCCNCGGUAAUCUGAGCGGGCUGGCAAGGC